rnacentral:tRNA from 1 species
UGAAUUGAAGCCAGUUGAGUUGGGCGUUUAGCUGUUAACUAAGUAUUUACAGGUUAAAAUCCUGUCAGUUCAG